rnacentral:lncRNA from 1 species
CUGCACUAUAGUAUCUAGAAAACGCCUGUUUCUUCACUUGAAGCCGAAAAUUUCAUAACAUGAAGACGAAUUUAUUGGACACAUUGACAAUGCUGUCCUGAACAUUGCAAUGUGCUACUUUUAUGCUGAAAGUCCGCUACCAUGGCAACAGCGAGCUGAGGAUCAGGCUCAAAAUUUGUCUUUUUUCGGCCAUUUUAAAAAUCUCUUAGGGAAUUUUUUUGAGUUUUUCGACCAUUGUACACGUC